ACUCCUACGGGAGGCAGCAGUGAGGAAUAUUGGUCAAUGGAGGGAACUCUGAACCAGCCAUCCCGCGUGUAGGAAGACGGCCUUAUGGGUUGUAAACUACUUUUAUACAGGAAGAAACGUACCCUCGUGAGGGUGCCUGACGGUACUGUAGGAAUAAGCACCGGCUAACUCCGUGCCAGCAGCCGCGGUAAUACGGAGGGUGCGAGCGUUAUCCGGAUUUAUUGGGUUUAAAGGGUCCGUAGGCGGAUUAAUAAGUCAGUGGUGAAAUCCCAUCGCUUAACGAUGGAACUGCCAUUGAUACUGUUAGUCUUGAAUGAGGGUGCAGUGGUUGGAAUGUGUAGUGUAGCGGUGAAAUGCAUAGAUAUUACACAGAACACCGAUUGCGAAGGCAGAUCACUAACCCUAAAUUGACGCUGAGGGACGAAAGCGUGGGGAGCGAACAGGAUUA
rnacentral:rRNA from 1 species